CAGAGUCGUACGCAUCCGCGCGAGAUCCACCAGCCAAUCAGAAAGCAUCUGCCUCUUCGACGAUUUGUGUUUGUCUCAGAAACUGUGUUCUUUGGCGGUGAUCGUGACCUCAUAAAUCUUGACCACUGAAACGACAAUUGGUAAAAGUUAUUUUAUUUGAAUUAAUAUUUAACCCUUUCAUUAGUUUUGUGUGUUGUGUAAUAUAUUCGAGUGGAAUAUGAGAAGAUACGUAUAGAUAUUCGUCGCAUGGAAUGUUAUAUAUAAGUGAAUAGUAUGUUUCAAUUGAGAUUGAACAAUAGCAAUGGGCGAAAACAUUUCAUGGAUAGGAAAAUUUGGAUCGUUGCCAGUCCCGAUUCCACUCUUCUUAUCCUGUACACCGCGACAUUACUUUCAACAUCUUGCCGUAUUCGAGUUCUUUACCGUCUUUCCACUUGAAAGUGGAAAGUGUCCGGAAGGCCAAGCUUCCAGCUUUCAUUAGUUACGUCUUCGAACAACCGACUCCCACGAGCACUUAUCGAACUGGAACGAUCGUGACUCCAUGAACUGGAAUUACAUGAACUUAUUACACUGCGCCACUUUCAAGCCGCGGACACGGAUGGUCGUUAGAAUCGGUCCGAUCUAUUGGAACUUGCCUGUAAUCUACCAGUUUGGUCCGUUUAACGGGCUCAUUACAAGUUGACGGUGGAUUGGCGGGGGUGGCACGAUGUAUGAUCAUGAAGACAACUUUAAGGAAAGUUUAUCAUUCGUCACAGGGAAGGAGAUUAUGGAGGAGAGACUCGGUUUCUGGUCGAACGAUUGAAGAGGAAAUUUGUAACGAUUUAACCAAAAUUAAGUUUGAGGAUUAUGAUGGAUGGGGAUUGUGUUCGAAAUUCGAUAUCACGUGUGGAUUUUAAUUUGUAAUGGCAUUGAUAAAUGAUGACUUACAAAAUGAUUGAUCGUAGAUCUAUAUUCAAUGAAGUUGGGACAAAAUUGUGACAAAAUUUAUUGUGAUUCGUUUCUUCGUUUUCUUUUAUUCUAUUCCCACUUUUAUUUAUUUAUUUAAUUUUUUUUUUUUUUUUUUUUUUAGGUUGUUAUGCAAACGCUAUCUAUCAAUUUUUAGUGUCCAUCAAUUUUGAAGUUCAGGUAUACAAAUAUCAAUAUUUCAUGCGAGUAUCAAAUAUAUAUAUAUAUAUAUAUAAAUCAUCAACAAUUGAAGUGAUAGCAUUCCAGCACAUCUGGUAUCUUUGGCACGACAAUACAUUUGCUUAUCAUAGUGCAGUUGAACGUGCAGUUCUGGCUAAAAGCAAAUAUCUAGUUUUUAUCCAUUCGAUGUAUUCAAUUGAUUUUGCUCCCUAUGAUUAAUCGCCAUUCCCAAGAUUUAGUAUUCUACGGAAAGGCACACCACCAAGAUGUGCAAGCAACCGCGAUGAGAAUAAUCUUGACUAAAAACAACUCGUUCAUUCAAGAAUCCACGAAUCGAAUAAUUUGGCGUUAAGAGAUAUUGUCCAAUAAAUGGUAGAAUAAAUGUGAGUACAAUUCGAACCGAUUUUCCAUUUCAAAUUUUACAUUAUAGAAAAAUUUUGUGUAUUAAUUAUAAUAUGGUAUACAUCAAAUUUCUUCAAAAUGUUUUCGUAAACGCAGAGAAGAGAAAAUCAAUAACACCCGCAUGUAAUAAAGAGAAUAUCUAUUAAAGAUAGCUAAUUAUCUUGAUUGGAUUAUCAAUACCCGCAUCUAAUCAAUUAAUUGAUGGAGGAUGUUUAAUGAGAAAGCUUCGAAUAUGGAGUUGUACCAUUGCUAUUCAAGAGCAAUAACUAUGAAAUAUUAAAAUACUUUUAUUAAUAUUUCUACCUUAUAUUAAUUUACAAGAAUAAUAAUUAAUUUGCA